rnacentral:rRNA from 1 species
GUCCACGCCGUAAACGAUGUCAACUAGUUGUUCGUGUCAUUAACGACGUGAGUAACGCAGCUAACGCACUAAGUUGACCGCCUGGGGAGUACGGCCGCAAGGUUAAACUCAAAUGAAUUGACGGGGGCCCGCACAAGCGGUGGAGCAUGUGGUUUAAUUCGAUGCAACGCGAAGAACCUUACCAUCCCUUGACAUCCACAGAAGGUCUUAGAGAUAGGACUGUGCCUUCGGGAACUGUGAGACAGGUGCUGCAUGGCUGUCGU